CCGCGAAUGGCUCAUUAAAUCAGUUAUGGUUUACCCGACAGUACCAGUACAUGGAUAACUGUGGUAAUUCUAGAGCUAAUACAUGCAGCAAGCCCUGACUCCUUGUGGGCAGGGCGCAGUUAUUAGAUCAAAAACCAAUCGACCGUACCUUCUGGUGCAGUCGCUCUUUUGGUGAAACUGAGUAACCACAGCAAACCGCAUGGCCUUGCGCUCGGCGGUCUGUCGGUCAAGCAACUGCCUUAUCAGCUUGUUGUUAGGUUAUAUGCCUAACAAGGCGUCAACGGGUAACGAACGAUCGGGGUCGGACAUCGGAGAGGGAGCCUGAGAAACGGCUACCACUUCCAAGGAAGGCAGCAGGCGCGCAAAUUACCCACUCCCGGCACGGGGAGGUAGUGACGAGAUGUAUCGAUGCGGGGCCAUUAGUGCCUUCGUAAUCGGAAUGAGUACACUUUAAAUCCUUUAACGAGGACCUAUUGGAGGGCAAGUCUGGUGCCAGCAGCCGCGGUAAUUCCAGCUCCAAUAGCGUAUAUUAAUGCUGCUGCGGUUAAAAAGCUCGUAGUUGGAUCUGGGUUCCCGACGGGUACUGUAUGCAGUCUUGUAUUGUAUACAUGUACUAUUCGUGUUGCUUCGGUAGCACUGCCGACGUGGUGGGUCUCGUUUGUAGAUUCAUUACGUCGGUCGUCGGGACCACGGGCCAAGUCAGGCGGUAUGCUCUUCACUGAGUGUACUGUUUGCUUGGUGCGUUUACUUUGAAAAAAUUGGAGUGCUCAAAGCAGGCGUACAGUCGCAAUGCGGCCAGAACAGUGGUGCAUGGAAUAAUGGAAUAGGACCUCGGUUCUAUUUUGUUGGUUUUAAGAAUUCGAGGUAAUGAUUAAGAGGGACAGGCGGGGACAUUUGUAUUGCGACGUUAGAGGUGAAAUUCUUGGAUCGUCGCAAGACAAACUAAUGCGAAAGCAUUUGUCUAGUAUGUUUUCAUUAACCAAGAACGAAAGUUAGAGGUUCGAAGGCGAUCAGAUACCGCCCUAGUUCUAACCAUAAACGAUGCCAACCAGCGAUCCGUCGGUGUUCUCAUUUUUGAACGACUCGACGGGCAGCUUCCGGGAAACCAAAGUUUUCGGGUUCCGGGGGAAGUAUGGUUGCAAAGCUGAAACUUAAAGGAAUUGACGGAAGGGCACCACCAGGAGUGGAGCCUGCGGCUUAAUUUGACUCAACACGGGGAAACUUACCCGGCCCGGACACUGUAAGGAUUGACAGAUUGAUAGCUCUUUCUUGAUUCGGUGGAUGGUGGUGCAUGGCCGUUCUUAGUUGGUGGAUUGAUUUG
rnacentral:rRNA from 1 species